AAUGGUGCAACCUCUUUUUUCGCCAUCGUAGCCUGCGACACUAUCAACCGUGGCUACACUUCCUAUUAUCUGUCAGGUGUUUUGCGUGUAUGCGUGUGUGCAUUGGUUUGUUUACUGUCUGCUCACUGUUCGAUCUGUUGCGUCGUAACCACGCGGUUUUACCCCAAUUGCUCUAAGGAAAUUGCACAUCCGUGCGUGGACCUAUCGGUUUACUACCACGAUUCCUCCCUUAGGCCAACAAUUCCUAGGAAUUGUUACACGCCACUACAACUAUAUCCCCUAUUUCUGUCGGCCGCACCGGUUCGGACCGCUCGGUUCUGUGGUGAAGUAAACCCAUCACGCUUGAACGCCUUUUUGUUGUAGGGCAAAUUGACGCUGUUGUACCGCCACAAAGGUCCCAUUUCGUAU